GUUGAGUGCAGGAAGUCCUGUAUGGCUAAGACAGGUUUUCAGUGUGGAGGGGGGAAGUGGCGUUGGAGAAGACGCACUAAGUCGUGUGGGUGGUGUAAAUCCAGUAUGCGUGAGCCAGUAAGGCAGCCCAGAGCUGUUUUUAUUUUCUGUGGAGAAGAGAGGGGGACACAGAGACUUCAUACACAUGAAUAGCAAUUUUUUCUGAAGACUCUGAAGGAGGGAAUUUACAGCGUUCCCACUGCUGCAGUGUAGCGGAUGGGAAGGAGCGGUUGAGAGGGGAGUUAACAGGACAAAGAUAUAUAUGGGGUUCUGUGUGUAUGGUCACAAGGAUAUGUUAUGUUUUGGAUGCCGGUCCCAGCUAACCUAACCAGCAAGGGUUUCCUCGGUGAUUUUGAGAAUGAAAUUGGAGUCCAUCCAAGCUCUCAGAUGUGAUUGGCAACAAACUUCUAGAGUAUACAAGAUGACCAGUGCGAUUAAUCAAUUACAGACAACAGGUGUUGUGCUAUAGGACUGAUCUGCAGGUUGCUUUUGGUCGGUUAUGUCUCAGUCGGGUAAAAUCCUCCACCUGUAUGUAGAGGUGAGAUCUGUCACUGAUGAAGAAGGAAAAGACCUGGGAGAUGUGGAAAAAACAGACUCCCUCAUGUUAACAGCACCAGACAUCCUUCAGUCAUCGCAGUAUGGUGGCCCUAAUGCACCACAUGGCCGGACGUCCCCACGUGGAGUCCUGCAUAAAGGUGGAAGCAGCACCCAGAGCUUGGCCUCUAGUAAAUCAACAUCUAGACACUCUGUAAGUUUUCAGCUACAUCCAGGACAUGGCUCAGACCAACCAGUGACCCAACACCAGAGAAGUUUACCUUCUAGUGAGAUAAACCAGUUAUUGUCUGCCCUUCAGACAGAUCCCGCUGGAAAUACUUGUCAUUUGGUGUGUGCUCCUUCUGAACAUGACCUCUUCUUGGGGAGGGAACAUCACUUGUCAGGACGGUUUACUGCCCCACCUACUCCCAGUGGAACUCGUAAAGCUUUCAGCCCAACUAAGAUGAAGGGAGGAGAUGAAGGGAGGCGAUCUUUUGCCACUUUCAGUUACAUUGAAAAAGCUACAAUUAAAUCAGUAGAGGGUCAGUAUAGCUCUUUGUGCCAAAGUGAGCCUCAGAAUCCUUUCAACAGAAACAUGGAGGAAAAAGCUACCCCUCUCCACCUCAGGAAAAGGCUCAGUGACCCAGUGUGGUUCAACAGCUUGGAGUCCAUGAACAACUGUAAUUCAAAACAGCUUAGUCAAGGUUUAGGAAACUCACAUAUGGGUACCCCCAGCUUUAGGAGGGCGACUCUAGACUCCAUUGCCAGAGAAGCUACCCAUCGAGCAUUGGAGGAAUUCGGUUCCCCACAACUAAGGCAAAAACUGGCAGGCAACUGUCCUGAUAGAAGUCAUAAUGUCAGGACAGGAGAGCAGCGCCGCUGUCGGUCUUGGUCUGGAUCACCAGUGAUACCAUGCAGUUCUAGAACCCUGCCCACUAAAGCAACAAUAAUGGACCAUGAGAGGAAUAGUCAGUUUUAUAGAAUUCCCAGGAGCCCUGCUACAGACCAACUGUCUAACCAUGCCAAACAAGCUUACUUUAAUAUGUCACACUCAAACGCAAACACUCAGGAGGUCUCAAACCAAAGAGUGCAAGGGUGUAGGUAUCGCCCAAAUUUACCAUCCGGUAAGCCUACAGCUAUUCAACACGAACUACCAGCUAUGAUUGUAACUCAACCAUCAAGCUAUCAACAAAUCAGUCAUUCCAUGAUUGAUAGUCCACGGCAAGCCCACAGAGUUAAUUUCAACCUGGCCAACUUCAAAAAUAAGGUAGAAGAAGGAGCUGACCAACUUAGUGGAAUGUGCAGCGCAUCCCCAGCCACAAGUCCCGAGAUGGCUCGUAAACUAGCUGAAGAAGCCACCAAAUUUUCCAUACUUAUGGAAGCCAGGAGGUCUCCAUCCCCAACCUCAUCAUCAACAGACACAGUAAGGUCUGACAGUUCCCAGUUGGGACAUUCAAGAGAGCCUCAGCUCUAUGCUAGCUUCCAGGGCCCUGGAACUCACCCUAACUGCAAUCUUCCUGUUCAGGAGCACAAAUGGAAACAAGAGUCUAUCAAGACUGUUCACCACUCUGUUCAAACAACCCCUCUUUUGCCCCACAUUGGAAGUACAUCUCCGGCAGCUCCAGCGAGGUUGAACCGAUCAGAUGUAAUAUCAUCCUCUCCCAUAAGAGACCCUCGGAUAGAGAGAACACAGUUGGUUGGGAAGGACAGCCCGACAUUGCAUCGGCAUCUGCCUUCCCAGUACACAAGGGACAAUCAUACACCUAGCUAUGAGCGUAGGCGAUAUGGUACACUCAGAGGUCACAAAGACAGCCCAGAUAGCAGCAGGACACCUUUCACAAGGCCUAACCUAGAGACACCAAGCUGGACCACUCAGCAAAAGCAUGGGACAGAGGAAUGCUUAGCCAGAGAAAAUGAAAACUUGAGGGAGAUGGACAGUCAUAAGAGGAAUAGUCCAACAACACCAGUCUCCCAAGAAAACCAUUGUAGGGUCUCAGUGCAGAAUAAUGAGAUGAAAGCUGACAUUAGGACUAACAAGGAGUGGAGUGGUACAGCAUCACAGAGCUCCAGUGGGGUCACAGGCAGCCUUAUAGAGAGCACUCUACAUGAGAAAGAUUGCAUAACCUCAGAGACAUCUAGCAAAACCAGCCAGAAGAGCCCUGACUCUGGAAACACAGGCAUACCGAUCUUGUCUGAAAGUGGACCGUUUUCACUGAGGCCUUCCUUGCACUCACAGAAGACUGCUCGUGCCAAAUGGGAGUUCCUGUUUGGGUCCCACAACGAUCAACAAGAUCAACAUGAAACAAAAGGCUCCUCCACUGCACCCUCCAGUGGUUGUUCCAGUGAGUCUCCAACACGCAUUCCACCCUUGUCUACCCCCAUAAGGCCUAUAACAACACACUCAAGACACUGUAAAUCAACUGGCUCUUCGAAAUCCCCAUGCCACAAUGUACAGCAAGUCGACGUGGAGUUGAUAAACCAUCAUCCCACAGUGGGGUCCUCUAAGAAGGCAGGCAUCAUCAAACCUAAUGUCAAAUAUUCAGAGACAGACAUAGAUGCGGUGCCCCUGCGCUGUUACAGGGAAACAGACCUUGAUGAGGUGAUGCUGGCAGAACAGGAGGAGGUGGACUCUGCAUUUGGCAGCAACCGCAGUGUGCUGGGCACCUCAGGCACCAGCAGCAGCAGCCCCCUGGAGGGAGUGCUAUGCCCACACACAGAUGGAGAGGAGGAGCUGCAAGAUGAAGAGGUGGUGAGCUGGGCCAGUGUGAGGAUGCAAGGUGACAAAAAGAGGCAAAAUGCCACACCUGAGGGAGAUGAAGUGUUUAGUCGACUGCUGAGAGGGUGAGUGUAGAAUAGAUAACAAUUAAGCACCAUUGUGAAUUCACACACAUAUCCACUAUCCACAAUCCACAUCCACAUCCCAGUGAAUGCAACAGAGGACUUCCACUUGACCAAAAGAACAACAAAAUGAGCAAGAGCUGAUAACUUUAAGAUAUCUGUUGAAGAUUCCUCCAUUUUGAAGACUUUGGGGUAAAUUAGAGCGGGUCUGUAUUCUUGGGAACGCCCAGGAGGGCAGUAAUGGCGUGCAAGGAGGUCAGAAGUUUUGAGAAAAAUACUGUAGUAUAAAUGUACAUAUACAGCUGGCAGAGCAGACACAUGCACACACAAAGACAAACUCAUUCCUGCUGUAAUUGCUCUCAAAAUGCAAACAGCUGUUUUGAUGACAGAUGGUACCUAUAGCUCUAUGUAAUUUGGUCAUUUUGACAUAUUUGAGUAACCAGUUGUUCACUGAAAAUAGUUUUAAUGGGCUUUCUGAAGAUUUGUUUACAAAAAAAGAAUCUACAGUUGAGUAUUUACCACUAGAGAGCAGUGCUGAGCAAUGUGAUUGUACUGAGAUGCCAGCUCACUGUCUUCUAUCUGUUUUGGCUUUGAAUGAGCUUCAGAUACAUUUUCUCUCACAGAUGCCAUUGAUGAAUGUAAUGUGAAUAGUUUUAAAUCAGAGAAAUUGUUUUGAUCAACUGUAUGUAGCAAGCAGUCAUAUAAGGAUGAAGUUCCUAACUAAAUAAGUUCUCAUGACUGCAUAAGAUCCUUCCGGUGCUGUAACUGACCCUAAAUCUCAGGGUCAGAUUUGAGUUUAGGCCUAUAAUCUCUUGCUACUCCUUCCUGUCUGCUGUCAGAAUAAAUCAGAGUGUAGAUCUGAGUCUAUGGGAUUAUUUUUGUGCCAAUAAAAAUGUAUGUAUUUUCACUAAACUUAUUAAAAUAGAAAUAGAAACUGUAUAAAAUGUCUUUAAAUUCUUAAAAAAAAAAAAAAAAUAAGUACAGACGAAAUAAGAAAUAAGAAACUAGUAUAAAAUAGUCUUUAAAUUCUUAAAAAAAAAAAAAAAAAAAAAAAUUGCAGGCAAAAUCUUUGGUUUCAUUUAAUACACUGCAUGUUUUGCUAACUGUUUUCUCCUCUUUCUUUAGCUGAUAUGUACUUACAAAUGCACUUACAGAGUUUUCAUUUACGCUUCUAAAAUAUAUUUUACGCUUUUGAAGUUUUCAUUUAUGCUUAUAAAGUUUUCAUUUGCCAUUCUGGCACAAAUCUCUCGUGGGGGCAAGGAGUGAUGUGUUCUCAUUAGCUACUACUGUAAGUUUUUGAUUGACAUAUUCUUGACCUGGAAAUGAAAGCGUCAGUGUGCAUGUGGGUCUGUUAGAAGCUCUCUGUUUCAUUAUAGUAAUAUAAAAUUAGGAGUUUUUUUAAAAUCUGUAUUUAUCUGCUGCUACUACUCUGAUGACUUAAGCUUUUAGGAGUGUGAUUGAUCAAAUGCGAAAGAAAGUGAAGGUGUAUUGAGGUUUAAUUAGAAGUAUUAUACUGAAAAUAUUGUAUAAUGUCCAAUGUUCUCAAAGGAUAUUUGCUUAUUUCUUAUGAUUAUUUUCUAUUGUAGGGUCUAAUUAGAUUGUGCUGUUACAAUUGAAAGAUAAUACUAUCAUAUAUGUGUGUGUGUGUGUGUGUGUGUUGUUUUCAGACGUCAAGAAAGUCUCACUCCAACAAGGCUAUCAAGGCUGACAACCCUUGCCAUAAUGCAUGUUCACUUUCACAAUUAAUGAUCACCUUAUUCUAAAGAAUUCAAACAAUAUAAAAAUUACAUUUUACAUGCUAUUUUUUUUGCAGGUUCAAUGAAAAUUUAUUUAGUUUAAAUUUUUUUUUUUUUUUAAUAAAUUUCUUGAAAAGUUGCACUCAUUUUUAAGGGCACAAAAAUAAUCUCAUACGAGUCUACACUUGCAAAUAUCAUCAGCAUUUUUAUCUUGUUUUUCAAAAAAAAAUUGAAACCUCCUUAAAAACAUUGAAUUUAAAAUGAUUGGAAUAACUUUGAAGAAAAUUAAUGAAAAGAUAAUAAGACUUGCUGUAUAAAUCUUACAUUAAUUUCUUUAUCACCAGAUUGUUUUUUUUUUCUUCUGUAUGCAAAAUAAAUUUAGAUUUAUGUUGGAUUUCUUAUUUUUUUAAAUGGAGGGAAAACAGAUUGUCAAUUUAUCUUGAUUUAAAUAUUUUUUAUAGUGCAAAUGGUAGAAAAUAUAUGCAUUUGACAUGCUUUAUUUUUUUUGCGUAGGUUACAAUAGUAAAAUUUAUUUAAGUUUUAAAUUUUUUUUUUUUUUAAUAAAUUUCUUGAAAAGUUGCACUCAUUUUUAAGGGCACAAAAAUAAUCUCAUACGAGU
rnacentral:lncRNA from 1 species